rnacentral:rRNA from 1 species
AUUGAACGCUGGCGGCAGGCCUAACACAUGCAAGUCGAGCGGUAACAGAGAGUAGCUUGCUACUUUGCUGACGAGCGGCGGACGGGUGAGUAAUGCUUGGGAACUUGCCUUUAGGAGGGGGAUAACCACGGGAAACUGUGGCUAAUACCGCAUAAUGUCUACGGACCAAAGCAGGGGAUCUUCGGACCUUGCACCUAGAGAUAGGCCCAAGUGAGAUUAGCUAGUUGGUGGGGUAAAGGCUCACCAAGGCGACGAUCUCUAGCUGUUCUGAGAGGAUGAUCAGCCACACUGGGACUGAGACACGGCCCAGACUCCUACGGGAGGCAGCAGUGGGGAAUAUUGCACAAUGGGGGAAACCCUGAUGCAGCCAUGCCGCGUGUGUGAAGAAGGCCUUCGGGUUGUAAAGCACUUUCAGUGGUGAGGAAGGGCGUAAGAUUAAUACUCUUGCGCAUUGACGUUAGCCACAGAAGAAGCACCGGCUAACUCCGUGCCAGCCGCCGCGUAACAC